CAUAAAGAUAGUGUAACUUUCUUGUAAUUUUAAAAAUAGUACUUUUUUAGACGUGUUUUCGGAAUUAAUUAUGAUCGAGUAAAAUUAUCAGUAUCGUGUUUUCGUUCUGGCAGAAUCUAGAUAAAGAUAUCAAUUUACCUAUAUCAAAAUUUCAGAUCCAUUGGUAUCUGUCGUGAAAAGUCGUGGUGGCCUAGUGGGUAAAAGACCAACCUCUCGAGUAUGAGGGCGCGGGUUCGAUCCCAGGUCAAGCAAGCAGCCCGACAGCCGGCUGUCGGUUGGUCGUUGAAAGGUUAAGAAAUCUUAAAUAUAGACUGUAACUACAAGCAAUGACGAACUGCAACUUAUUUGAAAUCAAAUAUAAUCAUCAUCAUCAUCAUCAGCCUAUAGCAGUCCACUGCUGGACAUAGGCCUCUCCAAGUGCACGCCACUGAGAUCGAUUUUCGGCUGCUCGCAUCCAGCUCCUGCCAGCCGUCUUGCGCAAGUCAUCACUCCACCGUGCCUGAGGACGUCCUACACUACGUUUGCCGAGUCGUGGUCUCCACUCUAGAACUCGUUUACCCCAACGGUUAUCGGUUCUUCGUCUAAUAUUCCUUACAUCGUCGAUCCCACAGUGCCUAAAGACAAAAGUCUUCAAAUAU